rnacentral:rRNA from 1 species
CAAUAGCGUAUAUUAAAGUUGUUGCAGUUAAAAAGCUCGUAGUUGGAUUUCUGGUGGAGCGAUCGGUCUGGCGCUUAGCGCGAGUACUUGCAUCGUCUCCGGCCAUCCUUGGGGAGAGUCUGUCUGGCAUUAGGUUGUCGGGCAGAGGACCCUCAUCGUUUACUGUGAAAAAAUUAGAGUGUUCAAAGCAGGCUUAUGCCGUUGAAUAUAUUAGCAUGGAAUAAUAAGAUAGGACUUUGGUACUAUUUUGUUGGUUUGCGCACCAAAGUAAUGAUUAAUAGGGACAGUUGGGGGUAUUCGUAUUCCGUUGUCAGAGGUGAAAUUCUUGGAUUUACGGAAGACGAACUACUGCGAAAGCAUUUACCAAGGAUGUUUUCAUUAA